rnacentral:pre_miRNA from 1 species
AUACAAAUCAUCUUGAGGGCUUGUUAAAAUGCAGAUUCUGGUUAAGUAGGUCUGGGGCUGGGGCCUGAGAGUCUGCAUUUUUAACAAGCUUUCAGAUUUGAAU